AGCAUGUGGUUAAUUCGAUGCUACACGAAGAACCUUACCAGGGUUUGACAUGGCAGAAGUAGGAAGCCGAAAGUGGACGACCUGUAUCCAGUCAGGAGCUGUCACAGGUGCUGCAUGGCUGUCGUCAGCUCGUGCCGUGAGGUGUUGGGUUAAGUCCCGCAACGAGCGCAACCCUUGUCCUAUGUUAAAUUCUCAUGGGAUACUGCCUUGUAUAGCAAGGAGGAAGGAAAGGAUGACGUCAAGUCAGCAUGGCCUUUAUGUCCUGGGCUACACACACGCUACAAUGGGUGAUACAGAGGGUUGCCAAGGAGCGAUCCGGAGCUAAUCCUUCAAAAUCAUCCUCAGUUCGGAUUGCAGGCUGAAAUCGCCUGCAUGAAGUCGGAGUUGCUAGUAACCGCAGGUCAGCUAUACUGCGGUGAAUACGUUCUCGGGCCUU
rnacentral:rRNA from 1 species